UAUAUAUUAACUUCAUUCCUUGUGCGUGUUAAUUCGAUUUUUAAGCACAAAUUGUAUAUCGUAGAUUAUCUCGAUCGUUGAAUUUUAUCACGUUGUAAAAGAUUUUCGCUGAACACGUUAUUCAAUUGUCGUUUCUUUUUAAAUAGUAUAUUUAUCGAAUUAUUAAACAUUUUUGAAAUCGUCUCCUAGAACCGUCGAUAGUAGAUUUGAUGUGCCAUCGAGAGUGUCUAGAAGAUAGAUAAUAAAUAAUAAAUAAUAAUAGUAAUAAUAAUAAUAAUAAAUAAUAAUAAUAAUAAUAAUAAUAAAAAUUUUACCGAAAAAUCUUCACCUAUUACCACAAUGGGAGCUCUCAUUCAGAAGAUCAUAUACUCAUCCAAGAUAAUAUAUAUAUAUAUUUUCGUUUCCUUUCUUAAUAAUUUAUACAAUAUUUUUCGAGUCUUUCGACAAUUUCUUUUUUCUUUUUUUCUUUAAACGAAAUAGAAAUUCUUCUUUUCUAUCAAUUACAUGCGUUCUUGCUCUGAUCGACGUCGUCUAGUAUCGAAGAUAUUCGUCCUGCGUGUCAUUUCAGUGUACAAAGAGCAAAACGGAUUACCAAGUGUAUCCAAAGUGUCCGUCACCGAUCGAUCAUCUGCCGAACAACACGCCGCCCUUUAACCCGCCUAUAAAUUGCUCCAGUUACUCGAGGCUUCUGUUUCAAGAUUAUCCGGGCGGGAUACCGGACGCGGACAGGCCUUACAGAUGUUGGAAUUGUGGAAAAUUGUACACGCACAAAUCGACCUUGAAACGGCAUCGCGAAACGGUCUGCGGCAAAAUAAGAAACACGAACGGCAAGUGGAAGUGUCUGCGUUGCCCGAGAUCAUAUCGUUCCGAGGGGAAUCUCGAGCGCCAUCUACGAUACGAGUGCGGUGUCGCCAGACAGUUCUCAUGUAUCCUUUGCAACAGGAAGUUCACG